GGCUUCCGCUGCUCUCUCUUGACCAGGACGUGUCCGACGCAGAUAGGCAGUGUCUGCCGGAAGCUGGCGGAGGGGGGCUGGACCGGGCUGGGAAACUGAGGGGAUGGGGUGAAGGGAGGAGAUGGAAAAGUCAAGGCCCAGAAGGGGAAGGGACUCACCCAAGGUCACACAGCAAGUUCUACUGGAACCACAUGGAAUUCAGGAAUCCUGGAGAGCAGCUGGAAACCAGGACUCUCAUCCAGUAGUGGCCCUGAGACAAAAGGCAUAAAAGGCGCUGAAAGAGGGGAAGACAAAAAUCUGGCGAGCGAGCUGCCUGGGCCGAGACUGGCCACUUCAAACAGCCCUUCAAACAAAAGGAGACGAUGAAAAGAAAGCCCCACCUGUCUCCAGUGUUUGCUAAAAUAAUAAUAAAUAGAUUUCGUUUAAUAAAU